rnacentral:lncRNA from 1 species
AUGGAACCCAGCAAAUCGUUACCCGUCCUCAAGGAACGCAAAACACAACAAAACACAGCUCACAAACACAACCACUCCGCACCUGGAAGCGUCCCCAUUGUACGGCCUUCAUCACAACAGGCCACACGACCGCGCUACAGCCUCCCACCGCUCCUUGAUGCCGAAUUCACUCUUAGUCGUACAGAAGAUGAAAGGCUGAUGAAAGGCCAUUCAAGUUUUUCAGCCUCUUCGGGACAUCUCGUCACCAGGUUUAACCGGAACCGGACGGCGGACGCUCACGGUGCCGCGGGAUGCCCAGGCGGCUCCUCACCGCCCAGCAGCGGCGGGUCACGGCUCGGCAUUAGUGCCGUCCCCCCGCUCCCCGCGGCCUCCCGGAGCCGCUCGCAGGCCCCGCUCAGCCGCCGGCUCGGCACCGCGCCUGGAAUUACAACACCGCGGGCGCAGACGCAGGGGGAGGGCGAAGGCGGCCAGACAGAGCGGCGUGCGCCGGGCCUGCCCGGCCCCGCAGGCGGCCCCGUGCCCACGCAGGAAGCCGCCGGCCCCGGGAGCCGCCGCGCUUCGCCCGCCGACGGUCUCCGAGCAUCGGCCCGACCCGCGGAGGGCGCUCGGCGGGGAGAGCGGCCGGGCCGGAGAGCUCGGAGCAGAAGGGCCGAGCCCGCAGCCGACGGGGAGAGCGGGCCGGGGGCGGGACGAGGGCCCGGUGCUCGGAGCCCCGCGGGCCGAGAAGGGGUGGAACGCAGGAGCGGGGCGCGGCGCUCCACACCGCCCGGCACGACCCCGCACUCACCGCUCCUGGAGGCUCCUCAUCCUCUGCGGCGGGACGGAAGGCGAAGCAACACGGAGCCGCUCCCGCUGCGUUACGCAGGCCGCGCCCGGAACCCCGACGGCUCCUGUAAGACGGGAGCGAAGGCGGCCGAGAGCCGGGAGGGGGAGGGCGGGGCGGGGCGGGGCGGGGCGGGGCGGCGCAGGCUCGCUCCCCGGCAGCGCUCCCGACGCCCGGCGCGUCCCUGCGGAGCUGGAGGGCGGGCGGGGCGGGACGGAGCCGGAUUCCAAUCACGGCACCCGUGGAGCCCGGCCGCGCGCACGGAGGAAGGAGGGGGAGAAUGGGGACGAGCGCGAAGCAGCAGCAGCUCCAUCGGCUGCCGGGGAGAGGCGUGA